rnacentral:rRNA from 1 species
GACGAACGCUGGCGGCGUGCUUAACACAUGCAAGUCGAACGGAAAGGCCCCUUUGGGGGUACUCGAGUGGCGCACGGGUGAGUAACACGUGAGUAACCUGCCCUUGACUUCGGGAUAACUUCAGGAAACUGGGGCUAAUACCGGAUAGGAAUCCUUGCUGCAUGGUGGGGGUUGGAAAGCUUCGGCGGUUUUGGAUGGACUCGCGGCUUAUCAGCUUGUUGGUGGGGUAGUGGCUUACCAAGGCUUUGACGGGUAGCCGGCCAGAGAGGGCGACCGGCCACAUUGGGACUGAGAGACGGCCCAGACGCCUACGGGAGGCAGCAGUGGGGAAUAUUGCACAAUGGGCGGAAGCCUGAUGCAGCAACGCCGCGUGCGGGAUGACGGCCUUCGGGUUGUAAACCGCUUUCAGCAGGGGCGAAGCUUGUGGUGACGGUACCUGCAGAAGAAGCACCGGCUAACUACGUG